rnacentral:rRNA from 1 species
CCUACGGGAGGCAGCAGUGGGGAAUAUUGGACAAUGGGGGGAACCCUGAUCCAGCCAUGCCGCGUGUGUGAAGAAGGCCCUCGGGUUGUAAAGCACUUUCAGUGAGGAAGAACGCCUGGUGGUUAAUACCCAUCAGGAAAGACAUCACUCACAGAAGAAGCACCGGCUAACUCCGUGCCAGCAGCCGCGGUAAUACGGAGGGUGCGAGCGUUAAUCGGAAUUACUGGGCGUAAAGCGCGCGUAGGUGGCUUGAUAAGCCGGUUGUGAAAGCCCCGGGCUCAACCUGGGAACGGCAUCCGGAACUGUCAAGCUAGAGUGCAGGAGAGGAAGGUAGAAUUCCCGGUGUAGCGGUGAAAUGCGUAGAGAUCGGGAGGAAUACCAGUGGCGAAGGCGGCCUUCUGGACUGACACUGACACUGAGGUGCGAAAGCGUGGGUAGCAAACAGGAUUAGAUAUCCUAGUAGUC